GACGAACGCUGGCGGCGCGCUUAACACAUGCAAGUCGAACGGAAAGGCCUGCUUUCCCUUGUGGAUUGCGGGUACUCGAGUGGCGAACGGGUGAGUAACACGUGAGUGAUCUGCCCCCAACUUGGGUAUAAGCCUGGGAAACUGGGUCUAAUUCCCGAUAGGACUGCAGGGUGGUGCCUGUGGUGGAAAACGAUUUUCUAGUGGUUGGGGAUGAGCUCGCGGCCUAUCAGCUUGUUGGUGGGGUAAUGGCCUACCAAGGCGGCGACGGGUAGCCGGCAUGAGAGGGUGGACGGCCACAUUGGGACUGAGAUACGGCCCAGACUCCUACGGGAGGCAGCAGUGGGGAAUAUUGCACAAUGGGCGGAAGCCUGAUGCAGCGACGCCGCGUGGGGGAUGACGGCCUUCGGGUUGUAAACUCCUUUCGACCGCGAGGAAGCCACCUGGUUGGAAGGGUGGUGACGGUAGUGGUAGAAGAAGCACCGGCUAACUACGUG
rnacentral:rRNA from 1 species